GUCAGAAACCCGUUAACCAUAAAUCUGCUGGAGAUGUCUCGGUACAGCAGUCCCACCCACGCUACGAACCUCCCAGGAAAACCCAUUUUUUGCAGUACCUGGAAGAGAUGGUGUCUCGGAUCAGUACCAGGCUGUCCGUGAUCCUCCUUCCCGGGACGGCGCAGGCUUGAUCCGGGUGGAUUAGAUCCCCCAACACUCGACGCAUCCUGGCUGCUAAAAGUCUACUAAAAAUCUUACAAUCAACGUUUAAAAGGGUCUUGGAGGGUCUGCCACUCGUGGUACCGCUCCCGGUACUGGCCGACCAGAACCUGGUCCUCCAGCAGGGAGCGGUUGAGUUUCCACAGACCUCU